rnacentral:rRNA from 1 species
CUGGUUGAUCCUGCCAGUAGUCAUAUGCUUGUCUCAAAGAUUAAGCCAUGCAUGUCUAAGUAUAAGUACAAUACGGCGAAACUGCGAAUGGCUCAUUAAAUCAGUUAUAGUUUACUUGCUCGGUUCAACGAUGUGGAUAACUGUAGUAAUUCUAGAGCUAAUACAUGAUAAAGCCUUGACUUAGCGGAAGAGGCGCACUUAUUAGAAGCAAACUCAAUAGGGGCAACCCUUAUAGUGUGAGUAGGAAUAAGCAUAAAGCGGAUCGCAUGGCCUUGAGCCGGCGACCAAGCAAUCAAGUUUCUGUCCUAUCAACUUUGGAUGGUAGUGUAUUGGACUACCAUGGUUAUAACGGGUGACGGGGAAUUAGGGUUCGGUUCCGGAGAGGGAGCCUUAAAAACGGCUACCACUUCCAAGGAAGGCAGCAGGCGCGCAAAUUACCCAAUCCUGAUACAGGGAGGUAGUGACAAGAAAUAACAAUGCAGGCUCUUAAACGGGCUUGCAAUUGGAAUGAGUACAAUGUAAACAUCUUAACAAGGAACAAUUGGAGGGCAAGUCUGGU